UACGGGGGGGGCAAGCGUUGUUCGGAAUUACUGGGCGUAAAGGGCUCGUAGGCGGCCAACUAAGUCAGACGUGAAAUCCCUCGGCUUAACCGGGGAACUGCAUCUGAUACUGGAUGGCUUGAGUUCGGGAGAGGGAUGCGGAAUUCCAGGUGUAGCGGUGAAAUGCGUAGAUAUCUGGAGGAACACCAAUGGCGAAGGCAGCUCGCUGGAACGGUACUGACGCUGAGGCGCGAAAGCGUGGGGAGCGAACAGG
rnacentral:rRNA from 1 species